rnacentral:rRNA from 1 species
UCCCCAUCUCACCCUGUAGCCCAAGACUGGUUGCCCACUGAAGCUAAGCAGGGUUGAGCCUGGUUAGUACCUGGAUGGGAGACCUCCUGGGAAAACUAGGUUGCUGCUGGAA